CAUCAGAGACAAGAAGGCUGUGAAGAUGUGAGAAUGGACAUGAAGCACCUGGAACAUUCUGGAGCAUUCCUUACAAAUCCUGCACCAGCACCACUAAUGAAGAGAAGUUAAAUAGAGAUAAAACAGGAGGUGCCAGUUUAUGGGAUGGCGGUGUAAGCUCUGCACAUUUGUUGCCUCAUCAAAAGAAAUUUCGAUCAUUAUGGAGUGAAGCAUGGUACUGUUGGUCAUGGAUAUUUUGUGUUCUGUCUUCAUUUAGACCAGUGGUUCUCAAACAUUUUCUGUCAUUCCCCACUUAAGGGGGUGGGCGAAUUUUCAAGCCCCACUUGUCAACAAAAUGAUAACGAAAACGGCCAAGUGUACUAUUUAUUGAAAUAUCAAUUUCUAAACCAAUAAGAUCAAAUAACGCCAAGUUCAAAACAAAUAAAAUACACGUGCAACUGUUAUAACUGGCUUACCUGUCACUUAUCUAGAGCUUUCUUUCAAAGAAGUCGAGUGGCCUAUUAACGUGACUGGGGUGUGUUGUCUCUAAGUGUCUUUCUACUUUGUUGUGUCUCAUGCUGUCUGCUGCCAGCGGUUUAAUACACAAAAGACACGAGUCUCUCCUCGGCCCCACCAUCCCCACCAUGAAUCCAAGCGCAACAUAGGCUUUAUCAUAGGCUUUUUGGUUAAAUAGUCUGAUGAUGCUGAAUCACCUGCUUUUUUGUGGUCCAUGUAACACAUGUAUCCAUUGAAGUUAUUAUGCUCACUACAUACAGUACGCUACUGACCCGGUGUUAUGCUCUAAAAUGCCCCCCUGCCACAGAUUGCCUCCCCUACAUAAUCUCUUUCAAAUAAUAUAUUAGAACAUGAAUUCAUAGGUUUAUGGUUUACAAAUUACAAAUUAUAAAAAACGAAUUUAAUUAUAAAGUAAGCAAUAUAAAAAAUGUUGUAUAGGGGAAAAAUAUAUUAAUUAUAUAUAUUUUUUCAUAUACAACAUGUAUAUUUUUAUAUUGCUUAUUGUAUAAUAAAAAUCGUUUCCUAUAAUUUUUCACCACAAACAAUAUUUAUUUAGUGUAAUUUGUGAUAAAUAAUUUAUUUGUACAUUGACAAACCCCUACAAAAUAAAUGUGCCAUAAAAUAAUCAUUUUGGGGGAUUUGUAUUAAUCGUCUCGACGAGUGUCACGUGCAUAGGGUUAAUUAUAAUAGUAAUAAUAUAUUUAAUAAUAAUAAACCGGGGGGCAAUCCGUGGCAAGGGGGCACUUCAGCACAUAACACCUGUGUGUGUCCGCGGUAAAGUUAGUUUUAUAUUCGCAUCUCCGAAUUCAAUAGCUGCAUGAAUACACCCAGGAAUAAAAUACCCAUAUAUAUAUAUAUAUAUAUAUAUAUAUAUUUCCUCUCUACAUUGUCUUUAAGCUACAUCCGCCUUAAAUUAUACAUGUUUAAAAGCAUAAACACCAUUAUUCUCUAGGGCGCAACGAAUGAUUUAGGGAUCAUCGCAAAAUGCCGCACAGCAACAAAAAGCGUAAAACGAUAUUGAUCUUCCCUUCUGUUCAGCGCCUGAAGGAUCAAAUAGCAACUUUGUUGCCACACAGGAAACUAGAAAUGCCAGACAUGUACUGCCUGAUAAAAUAUAAAUUUAUAACAAAAAUACAGAAACAUCAGCAUACACAUUGGAAUAAAUGAAAUUACAUAUAUAAUACCGAAUGUUUCCUUAUAUAUUGUUCCUCUGCAAUUAACAUGCCGACGUUAAACCGUUAUUGUUGCACUAUGGUUUCACUUUUUCUCUGAUGUUAUUUUAAUUUACUUGUA